rnacentral:rRNA from 1 species
AAUGAACGCUGGCGGCGUGGUUAAGACAUGCAAGUCGAACGGUUUUCCUGAGUGUAGCAAUACAUCGGGAAAGCAGUGGCGAACGGGUGCGUAACACGUGAACAAUUUACCUCCAAGUGGGGAAUAGCUCGCCGAAAGGCGAAUUAAUACCGCAUACGGUAAUUUCUCGCAUGAGGAAAUUUCACCAAAGUCAGGGACCGCAAGGCCUGACGCUAGGAGAGGAGUUCGCGGCCUA